GGAAGCUACUCUUGGCCGGUGCUGGGCACGGGCUUCAAACCCGGCGUGCGGUACUUCGUAUCGCGGGUGGGUUCGACUCCCACUAGCUUCCGCCA
rnacentral:tRNA from 1 species